rnacentral:rRNA from 1 species
CUUGCUCUUUCCGGAAUUGAGUGGCAAACGGGUGAGUAACACGUAAACAACCUGCCUUCAGGAUGGGGACAACAGACGGAAACGACUGCUAAUACCGAAUAAGUUCCAAGAGCCGCAUGGCCCAUGGAAGAAAAGGUGGCCUCUACCUGUAAGCUAUCGCCUGAAGAGGGGUUUGCGUCUGAUUAGCUGGUUGGAGGGGUAACGGCCCACCAAGGCGACGAUCAGUAGCCGGUCUGAGAGGAUGAACGGCCACACUGGAACUGAGACACGGUCCAGACUCC